rnacentral:rRNA from 1 species
AUUGCACGCUGGCGGCAGGCUUAACACAUGCAAGUCGAGCGAGCGGCGGACGGGAGAGUAAUGUCUGGGAAACUGCCUGAUGGAGGGGGUUAACUACUGGAAACGGUAGCUAAUACCGCAUAGCAUCAGAUGUGCCCAGAUGUGAUUUGCUUUUAGGUGGGGUAAUGGCACACCUAGGCGACGAUCCCUAUCUGGUCUGAGAGGAUGACCAGACACGCUGGAACUGAGACACGGUCCAGACUCCUACGGCAGGCAGCAUUGGGGAAUAUUGCACAAUGGGCGAAAGCCUGAUGCAGCCAUGCCGCGUGUGUGAAGAGGGUCUUCGUGUUGUAAAGCAUUUUCAGCGAGUAGGCGUUAAUCGCAGAAUAAGCACCGGCUAACUCCGUGCCAGCAGCCGCGGUAAUAC